GCCGUUUUUGUAACGAUACGGGGAUGUCAGUAACUUUAGCCCUCUUGAGCUGUUUCCGCUUGAAUUCGCCGUCCCCCAGCUGAUUUAUGGUUUUAACAGUAAACAGAAAUAUGGCGCUAUUUACAUUAGAGUCCUGUGUUACACCUGCCAAGCAAUCCACGACAUGCAGAAUGACAAGAGUGCCUUGGGGCUUUUCCAGGCCAGUCAGCCUUUGUUUAAGAAACCAAGAAAAGGCGAACAAAGGCAGCUAUAGUAACAGCUAAAGGUCCUUAUAUACUGUAAUACUUAAUGCUACCAGUCGGGGGCAUUCCUGUUUCAUCACAGACUAGAGAAAGAUAGCCAUCCUGCGGCUGUCAAAUAGACGGACGGCCGCUCGGGCCACGUGACCCUGCGGCCAGCCAAUGAGAGGCGACACUUUUGGUUGUUUAUGUCAGACGUAAUGGGAUAAUUUGGAGGAAAAAAAUGUUCAUUAUAGAACUAAUGAAGAUUUGCUGGCCGGGUAAGUUGCUACGGUUAGGUGUUUGUGGACACUGAAAAAUAAUCCUGACAGUUUAAAGUGUUAAUAUGAGUAAUUCAAAUCUAUCUAUCUAUCUAUCUAUCUAUCUAUCUAUCUA